UACAUAGGUCCCGAGCGUUGUCCGGAUUUAUUGGGCGUAAAGCGAGCGCAGGUGGUUUAUUAAGUCUGGUGUAAAAGGCAGUGGCUCAACCAUUGUAUGCAUUGGAAACUGGUAGACUUGAGUGCAGGAGAGGAGAGUGGAAUUCCAUGUGUAGCGGUGAAAUGCGUAGAUAUAUGGAGGAACACCGGUGGCGAAAGCGGCUCUCUGGCCUGCAACUGACACUGAGGCUCGAAAGCGUGGGGAGCAAACAGG
rnacentral:rRNA from 1 species